AGUGAACGCUGGCGGUAGGCCUAACACAUGCAAGUCGAACGGCAGCACAGUAAGAGCUUGCUCUUACGGGUGGCGAGUGGCGGACGGGUGAGGAAUACAUCGGAAUCUACUUUUUCGUGGGGGAUAACGUAGGGAAACUUACGCUAAUACCGCAUACGACCUACGGGUGAAAGCAGGGGAUCUUCGGACCUUGCGCGAAUGAAUGAGCCGAUGUCGGAUUAGCUAGUUGGCGGGGUAAAGGCCCACCAAGGCAACGAUCCGUAGCUGGUCUGAGAGGAUGAUCAGCCACACUGGAACUGAGACACGGCCCAGACUCCUACGGGAGGCAGCAGUGGGGAAUAUUGGACAAUGGGCGCAAGCCUGAUCCAGCCAUACCGCGUGGGUGAAGAAGGCCUUCGGGUUGUAAAGCCCUUUUGUUGGGAAAGAAAAGCAGCAGGUUAAUACCCCGCUGUUCUGACGGUACCCAAAGAAUAAGCACCGGCUAACUUCGUG
rnacentral:rRNA from 1 species